AGAAGUUUUUCAAUUUGGUAUUGUUUUCAAGUUUCACACAAAUCCACUGACAUAAAAAGUAUUGUUCAUAAUGCAGCUGGACAGGAAAGGUUUAGAACUCUUACUAGUUCAUAUUACAGAGGAGCUCAAGGGAUAAUAUUGGUGUAUGAUGUGACCCGAAGAGAAACAUUUACGAAUUUGUCUGAUAUAUGGGCUAAAGAAAUUGACCUGUA